rnacentral:misc_RNA from 1 species
UGGCUCUCGCAUCGAUGAAGAACGCAGCGAAAUGCGAUAAGUAAUGUGAAUUGCAGAAUUCAGUGAAUCAUCGAAUCUUUGAACGCACCUUGCGCUCCUUGGUAUUCCGAGGAGCACAUCCGUUUGAGUGUCAUGGUAUUCUCAACCUCGAUAACUUCUGUUAACGAGGCUUGGACUUGGAGGUCGUGUUGGCUCUCGUUAGUCAGCUCCUCUUAAAUGCAUUAGCGUGAACGUUACGGAUCGCUAUCAGUGUGAUAAUUAUCUGCGCUGUUGGUGUUGAAGUAUGUUAAGCUUGCGCUUCUAACCGUCCUUUAGUUGGACAUUUACUUGACAAUCUGACCUCAAAUCGGAUGGGACUACCCGCUGA